CAAGAGUUGUGAAACUAUGGAACUUUGGAACAGCAUCUGUUUUCUUCUAUUAAUAAAGUGACUUUCCAUUACCACCCUCCAACUGGGUAAGGCUGGAUAAGGGUCACUGAAGGUCUUGCUAAAAGGGCAGAUUUUUUUAAAAAAAGAACACAGAGGACUAUCAUUUUAGAAGGACAAAAAUAAGAAGGUGACCCACAGAUUUUUUUUUUUUUUUUUAGAAAAUAAAAAAGGAGAAAUAUACGUUGUAAUGUGUGAACCCUAAGAAGAAGUGUAAGCUCAGGAUAAAGCGUUUGGAAUGACAUCUCUCAGAAGUUGGCACUUCCUGGGGAAAUCCAUGAAGGUGUCUUCUACUCAGACCCUAAUCCUGGAUCAAGAACCAAGACUAGAACGUUUGCCAUUCUGGAUCUGGCGUCUGAAAGAUGAGUCACCAGAAGGGCUCUCAUCCAACGACUCCCAAAGAACCAAAUGGAAUAUUUCAUUGAAGAAAAUGUCUAUCUUUAAAGAAGAGCCUGCUAGUUGCAACUUUCAAGGAAGAUUGAAAAAAGUAAACUUUGGUUUUAAAAAAGAAAUGCUUUUUACUGCAUAUAAAGGUGACGUGUUUUUGUGUCUGUAUUUUUUAAGAUCUCAC
ensembl:lncRNA